GGAAGGCUACUUACAACCAUCGCGAACUGCUCCAAGUUGCUUCGGCGGCGCGGGCCCCCCGGGGCGCGCCCGCCGGAGGUACGAAACUCUCAUGCAUUACAGUGGCCUCUCUGAGUACGAAACGAAUAAGUCAAAACUUUCAACAACGGAUCUCUUGGUUCUGGCAUCGAUGAAGAACGCAGCGAAAUGCGAUAAGUAAUGUGAAUUGCAGAAUUCAGUGAAUCAUCGAAUCUUUGAACGCACAUUGCGCCCGGCAGUACUCUGCCGGGCAUGCCUGUUCGAGCGUCAUUUCAACCCUCAAGCCCUGCUUGGUGUUGGGGCCCUACGGCUGCCGUAGACCCCGAAAGGAAGUGGCGGGCUCGCCGCAGCUCCGAGCGCAGUAACUAACAGUCUCGCUAGGGAGGCCGCGGCGCGCUCCUGCCGUUAAAGAACCCCAUCUUUAACCAAAGGUUGACCUCGGAUCAGGUAGGAAUACCCGCUGAACUUAAGCAUAUCAUAA
rnacentral:rRNA from 1 species